CAACAGUUGAUCAGGUGAUGACGUUUUCUGUAGUUUUGUUCCCGGACGAGGAUGACUGUGGGGCAGUAGUUCCACGCCAGGAUGGAGCAAGCACAGUACUCCAAGGCACCAGAGAGGUAAUCC